GACGAACCGUGCGAACGUUGUUCGGAAUCACUGGGCUUAAAGGGCGCGUAGGCGGGUUCGUAAGUCUGUGGUGAAAGCCCCCAGCUUAACUGGGGAAGUGCCAUGGAUACUGCGAAUCUUGAGGAGGGUAGGGGCAUCUGGAACACUGGGUGGAGCGGUGAAAUGCGUUGAUAUCCAGUGGAACUCCGGUGGCGAAGGCGGCUUCCUGGACCGACACUGACGCUGAGGCGCGAAAGCUAGGGGAGCAAACGGG
rnacentral:rRNA from 1 species